rnacentral:tRNA from 1 species
UUCUUCAUGGUGUAACUGGUAGCACACUAGGCUCAUAUUCGAGAGGUCCAGGUUCUAGUCCUGGCGAGGGCA